UUCGUUUUAAGAGCCCCUUUUCAUGCAUCCAAGGAUUCGGUGAGAAAAGAAACAAGGGGCUUGGAUCUCUCACAAAAUCUCACCACUUUUUUGGUGAGAAAGGAAGAGGAGGGAUAGACUCUAUUUCAAAAAGGGCAUAGUUUCAUUGGUCCAUUUUGUUUUCUCACCAAAAGUGGUGAGAUUUGGCGGGAAAUCUACACCUUUUUUCUUUUCUCACCAAAAUGAUACGUAUUUUUGUUGUAAUUAGGAGUACAACUCACACUUGUUGGAGACUGGUACUACUGGUGUAUUGUUAACUAACCAUUGCACGAACGGUCUGAUGGUUGGGAUGAUGACAACCCUAGGGGGGCGUGCUGUGUAGUGUGUUGUGCAAUCUCAACCGUCCAAAAGUAUUUUGGAUUGUCCAGAUGCAAAUGAGAAAAGUUAAACUCUUCCCCGGAAAAAAUUUAUUUAAAUCUGGAUCAUUGAUUGUUGAGAUGGACGGUCCAGAUGUUGCGCAGCACACAUUGCACAGCACGCCCCCGGGUCCGGGAUGACAUGAUUUUGAGUCUUCUGACUCUGAUCGGGACCUUGGUUUGGAUGAUGAUGAUGAUGAUCAAGAUCAUGAUUGUAACGUUGGUUGGGAAUGGGAAAUGGAUUUAGCCAUUGCCAAGGAUGAUAAGGAAUCGCUGAUCUCCUUGAAAAGAAGUCCGCAUGCAAGACAUGACAAGAAGUGGUAUGUACUACCCAUACUCUGGGACAAGAUCCGCUUUGAAGAUGCCGUCCACUGUGCCACUACAGUGUUCGAAGAGAAGUUGGACAAAACAGCUCAUGUUGAUAGGCCGGGUCUUAGGGGAGCCUAUCCGUUGCAUCAUGCGGCCAAUGCGUUAGCUCCUCGAGUAAUUCAGUUAUUUCUUAGACAUAUAUGGAGCUCGAACUAAUAUCAGACUCUAUGACGAACACGAUAUGAAGGAGCACUGUAUUGCACCUGAACGUGAACGUGAUAUGGAGGAGCUAAAGGGAAUGCUCCCACUGAAUAUUGCACUUGAUAGCGCAAGACGAAGAUUAUGUUGUCACAAUAUGUACUCUCCAGGACAACCUAGUUUUCAGUUGGUAGUGUCUCUUUGCCUUCCGCUGAUGAAACGGGCUUUGGCUGCUUGUAAGUUGCUUGCUUGGUCCUCCAAGAAUGUUAAGAAGGAAGCUUACAAUUAUGCCACGGAAGGGAAGCUUGUUGAGUUGGCAAUUGUGGCUCAAAAAAAGGUUUUCAAACCCUUCCCAAAAGUUAUGGUGCCGGCAUAGAUGGAAGAAUGACGAUCCUCCAAUGCCUUAAAAAUCAAAUCUUGUCACUAGUUGAUGAGGAGAUGAAUUUAAUGGCAAAAUUUGAACAUGAGAAGGUAACACAGAUUCAAAGUAGGAUAAUGGCUAUGAGGUCGACUGCAAUGUUGCUUCAAGUUUGUGAGAGUAUCUGCAGUACCAGCAGCUUGUUGAUGUAUGCAUUUUAAUACCUGUUCCCCACUUUGUCUAAUUUUCUGCAGUCACAUGAUCAGUUACAUGGUUGCAUACUUGCAUUUGCCAAAAGAGUGUGCAUAUACCGAUGUCAAAAACAUAUAUAUCAAAAGAUAACAUGGCAUGACAUGACACAAGAUCUUUGUUGGCAUAGUGCUGUGAUUGGUUCAUGUUCCGGGGAAGACUUGCCCAGCAACUUUUGAAGUGGCCGUAGCACCAAGCCAAUUGUCUAAGUGACUUGCGUAUGCAUUCACAUAUUUAAAUGUACAUGUUUGUGUAUUUAUGUACAAUCCAGAUCCCAUAAGGGACUAAAGUCUAAAUGGACCAAAGAUUAACUUUGGUCAAUUGACAAUAAGAAAGUAACAGUCUGGGAGCCAUUAACUUUUAUCGGGUCCAACACAUUCCGAAUCCCUUUUUUCUUUUUUCUGUUGUUUUCUUUUCAAAAUUGAUACAAAACGCCUCUUAGAGUGCUUGGUGUGAAAAUAUCUUGCACCCAUGGAUUUUUGUAGUUCAUGGGGUGAUAGAAGAUUUGACGGGACACAUUCGUAGUCAACAUGUCCUGAACCCUUGUUUCGUUUUCUUUUACUUCUUUUGGGGGUAAAAGAUGUCAAAAUAUUUCUUCUAAGGCCAAUGUAACAUGUAGCAAUAAACUAUCUAUCACCAUUUUUGGUAUCAUUGUAUGAGUUGGACUCCGUGGUUGCAAAUAUAAUGUUUUUUUUUUUUUUCAUUUUUUCAUGUGCAAAUAAAGUUCUGGGUUUAAACUAAGAGGCUCUUGCCCACACAUCUACUCUACUCUGUUUAAGAUUUGUAGGUCGAUUUUGUGAAUGUGAAACGAGAAGGUAAGAUUUUUGAACGAUCCUUUAUGGUUCGUGGAGUUUGGACCCACAGCUUUUGUGGUGAAGGCAAAUCAUACAAAUGUCUUCCCAAAUUAAGACGAUAUAGCUUUUAUUGUGGGGGAUCUUAGCUUCCUAUUGGAGAUGAAUGCUCAUGUUUGUGAGUAUGUGUCUGCUCAGACACAAACACACAUCUAUAAGAUUCAUGCAGGAAUGCAGAUCUGACAUAUUGUUUGAUCAAGUAAUAUUUUGUGUUCCAUUAUGGGUGCAGAGAGAACAAGUGGAGAAAGAUGUUGCUUGAAGGCUUCAAGAAGGAGGAGUUACAUUGAAGGACGGAGACAUUGCUUUUAGCAUUAGAGACUGGUUUGGAAACACAGUUUUUCAGUGUCUUUCUUCUGGAUUGUUGCACUUCUUCUAUGUCUGCACAUUCAUUGAUCAAUCUCUGUUGGGCUUUAGUAAUUAGUUCAUUAUCAUGUCUUUAGUGCCCAAAGAAGGUUUAUAACUCUUUAUUGUUUCGGUUGGCAGUGUGAAUUCGAGCAAAACUGUCAGGACACCUGCCAAGUACUUCGACCAUCCAUCUGGUGAUUUCUUUGACAGUAAUUGAACAUAUUUUCCUACUCCUUUCUUUGAUUAUAUGAAGAAGUGAAAAUAGCAUCGAAGCUACUUGCUAGGAAUCUUGUUCCUUGGAUACUUUGCCCUAUUUUUUUUCCCAGACCAAUAUGUUUUGUGCUAUUAUCAACUGCCUUUCUGACCGUUUCUUUCAUGUACCUAAUGUCUUCCUGUUUUAGUGUCAUUGUUUGCACUAUACGGUGAUUUAUUCAUAUUCUUAUGGAAUAACUUGAUUUUAAUGGAGUUUGUAUGAAGCUAGCGAUCCUUUUUUCCGCCAUGUAUGAUGGGCCGAUGGACUAAGAAAUGAGUUUUAAAUAUGUGCUUUAUUCGUUCAAUUUUCGAAAACAUUUUCUUAUUAUAAUCUGUAAAAUCUUGUGGCUCUUGUCUGAGCAGAAUCGAGAUGGCCCUUGGUGGCCGGUCAAAACUACGAUAAGGUCAAUUCUUACAGAUCAAGUCUCUCGGUAUUCGACAAUUGUGGAUAUUCGAGGGAAGAAGCAAACUAAACCAAUAUCAAGGGAGAUUCUUGCAAAAUUUGCAUUGACGAUCCAGAGGGGGAUAAGAACUCUUUGAGGAUCCUUUUUUGGAGAUAUGAAGAUUUCCAAGACCUUUGGGGUUGCUUAUUUGUAUUGAUUCCAUGAUGAGGAGCCGCUUUAUCCAGACUUGAAUUCGAGGUCUUGUUGCAUCGACAAAUCCAGGCGAAGAGUUUUCUUGAAAGUCCCAACUUUACCGGAGUCGAGUCCGAAAACCCUUUCUUUUUUUUUUUGAACAGCCCGAAAACCCUUGUUCAAUUGGAAAUAGCUAAACAAGGACUCAUUGCUUACCAUUGCUUACAACUUACCAGCAACGAUGGAGAGUAGAUUAUGGCGAUUUCCACAGUCUGCCCUCAAUUACGUGCCCAAUUACAUGUUUUUGGAGUUUUAGGAAGGAUUUGUUUUGCCGAUUACUCAGUCAAAACCAAUCUGAGGCUAGAUUUUUUUCUGGCAUGUUUGAUUUUAUUCUAGUUUCCAGAAGUUGUUUUCUUCAUUACUUUCCAUUGCUUAACUACUUUUAUAAUUUCCUUUAUUUUCUUAACAGUUAGCAAUAGCAAUCAAGUAGCCUAAUUGAGUGUUCCCUUUCUCGUAUUAGGGUUUGGUUUGAUGGGUUUGGCGUUAUUACCAUGGAUAAUUCAAUGUUUGCUAGUGAGUUGAGUGUUUACCGGCAACUGUACUAGCCUUCUCCUGCGUGCCACAAAAACAUAUUGCUUCUUUUCUGAAUGGGGUCUCUAGAUAGUAAUAUGUAUUAUUCGAAAACUAAGAGCAUGUCUACAACCCAAUUGAAAUUUAAUAUUUAGCCAUUUUGAAUAGCCAGAUAUAGACAAUGUGUGUAUCCUCGAGUUCUAGCACACUUAUAACUUAUCAAGCAACAAACAACCAUAAGCAUCACAGAAACACAUUCACUAUGCUACACACCGGCUUGCAUAUGCACGAGAAAUAAUUAUUUCACUAAAGUUAUAGAAUUGAAAGGCCAAAAUAAGAUCAUUUUUACCAUCACUUAAAAGAACAUGUUCCUGCAAUAGAGUUUGCAAAAACUUGGGGUAAAACUUGAAGCAGUUUUUAGAUAAAAAGCUCAUAUUUUACAACUUAAACUUUGUUUCGGAGAGAAUGCACAAACUUAACGUAAGCAUUAUCUGCAAACCGGGCUAUAGUCUACUUAAGAACCAUACCAGGAAGGUUACAACACCUAGUAAUAAUAAUUAUAAAAGCACUCUGUAAGAAGUAUAACUUAUAGUGUGGGAGCUCUCUUCAUACAGCAGAAACUAUAACUCAGCCAAGGCACGAUACCGCUAAAACCAACGAUACAUUGUCUGCGGAAAAAAGUCUAUAAGAGUUGCAUUUCAUUCAGCUGAAAACUGAAAUAAAAUUCCAUUAAAAACCCUUUCUUUUUACUUUUCCAAUUCCAUUUUGCAUUUUUUUCCCUUAG